rfam:Ornithorhynchus anatinus chromosome 3, whole genome shotgun sequence.
CCCCUCUCAGGGUUGCACCUAGAGAGUUUCCAGCACUCUACCAGUCUCAAUUAUAGGAGAAAGAGUCAAGCAAAGGAAUACCCAUUCCAUUCCUAACUUGGGCAGUAGCUAGCGAGUGGAAGGCAAUCUGCUACAAGU